AUCUUCCCCUUUGAUUUUAUGCCACAGACAGUUCCUCUACAGCCACCUGUGAACCCACCAUUCCAGGAUGGUCCUCCACAAGCCCAAGAGCCUCAGCAGCAAACCCAGCUGGAGCAGCAGGCUCAGACAGGACAGGUGUCUAACAAGCCAUGAAGACCGG